GGAGUUAGCCGGUGCUUCUUCUGCGAGUAACGUCACAGAUGUAAGGUAUUAACUUACACCCUUUCCUCCUCGCUGAAAGUGCUUUACAACCCGAAGGCCUUCUUCACACACGCGGCAUGGCUGCAUCAGGGUUUCCCCCAUUGUGCAAUAUUCCCCACUGCUGCCUCCCGUAGGAGUCUGGGCCGUGUCUCAGUCCCAGUGUGGCUGAUCAUCCUCUCAGACCAGCUAGGGAUCGUCGCCUAGGUGAGCCUUUACCUCACCUACUAGCUAAUCCCACCUGGGCUUAUCCAUCAGCGCAAGGCCCGAAGGUCCCCUGCUUUCCCCCGUAGGGCGUAUGCGGUAUUAGCAGUCGUUUCCAACUGUUAUCCCCCACAAAUGGGCAAAUUCCCAGGCAUUACUCACCCGUCCGCCGCUCGUCAUCUUCAAAAGCAAGCUUUUGAAAUGUUACCGCUCGACUUGCAUGUGUUAGGCCUGCCGCCAGCGUUCAUCUGAGCAGAAUACAACUACUGA
rnacentral:rRNA from 1 species